rnacentral:rRNA from 1 species
UACGAAGGGGGCGAGCGUUGUCCGGAAUUAUUGGGCGUAAAGAGCUCGUAGGCGGCUUGUCACGUCGGAUGUGAAAGCCCGGGGCUUAACCCCGGGUCUGCAUUCGAUACGGGCAGGCUAGAGUGUGGUAGGGGAGAUCGGAAUUCCUGGUGUAGCGGUGAAAUGCGCAGAUAUCAGGAGGAACACCGGUGGCGAAGGCGGAUCUCUGGGCCAUUACUGACGCUGAGGAGCGAAAGCGUGGGGAGCGAACAGG